GCAAACUCCACACACACAAGGCGGAGGCGGGAAUCGAACCCCCAAAGCUGGAGGUGUGAGGAGAACAUGCUAGCCACUAAGCCACCAUGACCCCCCCAGAAAAAUGACCUAUUAAUGGUAAAGAAAAUCUUUUGCUAAUUCUCAGGGAAAAUGACAGAGUUGUUUGUGACUCAACUCGAUGAUCAACUCGGCUGAUCUGAUGCCACCGAUUCACUGAAAAGUAUGUCAAACCUUAAGGUGGAUGAGCUAAGACAGCUGAAGAUCAUCUCUGGUUCCUUGUCCCUCAGCCAAAAACAGAAAGCUGAGGAUGCAAUGGGCUCAGUCUGAAGAUGAAUAAACAUGGCCUGGUCUGAUAGACCCAACUCCAACAGCAUGAACCUAUGAACUCGACAUGUCUAGUGUCAGCAGUCUUGUGUUAAGGUGGUAUGAUUGAAUCUCUUCAUGGCCACAAUCUACCUAACAAAUUACCUAAUCAUAUAACAGCUGCUUCCUGUAUGACAACCUUAACACCCCAUCACACAAAGUUAAAUGUCAUCUCAGGCUGAUUUCAUGAACAUGACGAUGAGUUCAGCGAUCUUCAUCAUCCUUCUCAGUCAGAGAUUUGGUAGAUGUGGUAGAACAGGAGAUUCACAGCAUCAACAUGCUCAGUUACAGUAUCCCUGUGUGUUUUUCUCCCUCCGCGAAGAGGCUUAACACAGAUCACUCUGUUCUCACUGACCCGCUUCCUCUAAACAUGUCUGAGCAUUAAACUGCACAUAAUAAAAAUGAGCUGUUGCUUUAUUGUUUUCGGUUUUAGUUUGAAUUGGUUUAAAGCAGAUUUUGUCCUUUGGUUUCAGUUAUUACACACAACACAACAUAACUAUGCAGAAGACAAACCAACACAAGAUGGCGCUGUUACACCGUAACAAUUAUGUCUUAUACUCUGUCCGUUAUUUGUCCAUGGCUUCAAAAGUGCCUUUUAAAAAGAGCGAGAGAGAGAGAGAGAGAGAGAGAGAGAGAGAGAGAGAGAGAGAGAGAGAGAGAGAGAGAUGACGUCACCAGGCGUUUGCUCUAUAAAACCCUCUUGGUGUCUCAGGUUUGUAACUUCAGCUCUGUUCAGAUCUUCAGGUGUGUGUGUGUGUGUGUGAGGAGACCAGAGGAAACUUCACCAUGAUUAAGGUUCUAACGGUGUGUAUCGUGCUGCUGGUUCUGGCCAUGCAUUUCUCAACUCAGGUUGAUGCACAAACCCUGACCAACGCAACCAUCACUACCCCAAAGGGUGGAGGACUGUCGGUGCUGCCCGGCCUACUCAGCGUCGUCCUUCCCUCCGGCCUGCUCGUGUCUCUGCUCCAACACCUCCACUGCUGAACCUCUCAUGCUGAGGAGAUCUGGAGUAAAGCCAGAUGGAGAGACGCAUCCAAAGAGCCACACUUUCUAAAUUCUUGAGUCGAGGUGGAAAUGCUGUUAAUUGAUUAAAUAAGUCUCUUCGCUAGCGUUCCUAUUCGAGGAUGAAAGAUUUUCAAAUUGAAGCUCUCUGGAAAGUCUCGUCCGUGAAGCGUUCUGUUCUUUCUUCUGAAGCCUAGGAAAUCAAUCUGCACUGAUUGAGGUGGAUCAUGAAAUGACCAGUUCGCUCAAAGUUUUCCCCUUUGAACCAUUGAAGGCCAUUUUUACAUUAAAGCUGUUAAAUCAUGUCACUGUAAUUCUCUUUUUUUUUGUAUGAAUCUUUAAUGUUAUUUUAAUAGUAACAGUACAAAAAUGAAAUAAAAUACGAUUGAUUCA